UACAGAAUGAGUUAAGCCAGCCUGGGUGACUUCGUGAGACCCUAUGUCACACUAAGAAGUUAAAAAAAAAAGUAAUUGGCCUGGAGAUGUGGCUUACUUGUUAGAGUGCUUACCUAACAUGAAAGAAACAGAAACCAUGGAGCUGAUUCUCAGUACCACACGAACCAGAAAGAACAAAAGUGGUGGUAUGUCCCUUUCAAGAUUAUGCUGCAAAAAGAAUGCCACUAUGGUUUUCCUGUGCUGGUGCUGGUUAAGCAAGCUGCUUUGUAUCCUGAGUUGACCUACGGAAUGGCCCAAAUGGAGUUGGGUUACUGAGUGUCCUCUGGCUAGUAUCCAGUUAGAAGCGGAGACCCUCAAUGCGGAAGCACGGGAGCAACGCACCAUGCUAACAGCCACAGGGUAUACACAGAGGUGGGUCUACCUCAACUUGAACUCAUGUCAGCAGCCCCACCCAAACCUAGACUACACCUAUGAGAGACGCUGAGUCAGAACUGCCUGCCAAGUCAUGCCUACUUUCUUCACUCUAGAAAUUGACAUUAUGUCUGGGCCCCAUAGUGAGUUCAAGGCUAGCCUAUGAUACAUAGUCAUACUCUGUCACUAAAAACCAGAAAUCAAACAACGAACAAACCUAUGAGAUCUUGGCUAUUUUGGUUAUUUUUGUGUUUUCUUGCAAUACUGGGGAUUGAACCCAGGGCCUUUUGGGGGGGUCUGAGACAGGGUUUCUCUGGGUACCCCUGGCUGUCCUGGAACUCACUCUGUAGACCAGGCGGGCCUCCAACUCAAAAAUCCACCUGCUUCUGCCUCCCAAGAGGAUUAAAGGCGUGCACCACCACUGCCCAGCUGAACCCAGGGCCUUACAUGUGCUAGUUAAACACCUUCUACUGAGGUACAUUGCAAUUCUCUGUUGUUUUAAACUACUAGAAGUUGGGAUAAUUUGCUAUACAACAA
rnacentral:lncRNA from 1 species